rnacentral:rRNA from 1 species
UACAGAGGUCUCAAGCGUUGUUCGGAUUCAUUGGGCGUAAAGGGUGCGUAGGCGGCGCGUUAAGUCAGGUGUGAAAUUUCGGAGCUUAACUCCGAAACUGCAUUUGAUACUGGCGUGCUUGAGGACUGGAGAGGAGACUGGAAUUCACGGUGUAGCAGUGAAAUGCGUAGAGAUCGUGAGGAAGACCAGUGGCGAAGGCGGGUCUCUGGACAGUUCCUGACACUGAGGCACGAAGGCCAGGGGGGCAAACGGG